AUGAUAGUUACUUUUUUCUCUAUAACAGGAUUCUUAGUUUCUCGUUGGGAUUCCUCGGGACAUUUUCCAUUAAGUAAUUUAUAUGAGUCAUUGAUCUUCCUUUCAUGGGCCCUGUAUAUUCUUCAUACCAUUCCUAUAAUACAGAACUCUAAAAAUGAUUUAAGCACAAUAACUACGCCAAGUACUAUUUUAACGCAAGGCUUUGCCACAUCGGGUCUUUUAACUGAAAUGCAUCAAUCCACGAUACUAGUACCUGCUCUACAAUCUCAGUGGUUAAUGAUGCAUGUUAGUAUGAUGUUAUUAAGCUAUGCAACUCUUUUGUGCGGAUCCUUAUUAUCUGCCGCUAUUCUAAUCAUUAGAUUUCGAAAUAAUUUCCAUUUCGUUUCUAAAAAAAAAAUGUUUUAAAUAAACAUUUUCUUUAGUGAUAUUAAAUAUUUUAAUGCAAAAAGAAGUGCUUUAAAAAGAACCUCUGUCCCUUCAUUUCCAAAUUAUUACAAAUAUUAAUUAACAGAGCGUUUGGAUUCUUGGAGUUAUCAUGUCAUUAGCCUAGGAUUUACCCUUUUAACCGUAGGUAUUCUUUGUGGAGCAGUAUGGGCUAAUGAGGCCUGGGGAUCCUAUUGGAAUUGGGAUCCUAAGGAAACUUGGGCAUUUAUUACUUGGACCAUAUUCGCAAUUUAUUUACAUAGUAGAACAAAUCCAAAUUGGAAGGGUACGAAUUCUGCACUUAUAGCUUCGAUAGGAUUUCUUAUAAUUUGGAUUUGUUAUUUUGGUAUAAAUCUAUUAGGAAUAGGCUUACAUAGUUAUGGUUCGUUUACAUUAACACCUAAAUGA
rnacentral:rRNA from 1 species